rnacentral:rRNA from 1 species
GAUUAAGUUAUUAAGGGCGCACGGUGGAUGCCUUGGCACUAGAAGCCGAUGAAGGACGUUACUAACGACGAUAUGCUUUGGGGAGCUGUAAGUAAGCUUUGAUCCAGAGAUUUCCGAAUGGGGAAACCCAGCAUGAGUUAUGUCAUGUUAUCGAUAUGUGAAUACAUAGCAUAUCAGAAGGCACACCCGGAGAACUGAAACAUCUUAGUACCCGGAGGAAGAGAAAGAAAAUUCGAUUCCCUUAGUAGCGGCGAGCGAAACGGAAGAGCCCAAACCAACAAGCUUGCUUGUUGGGGUUGUAGGACACUCUAUACGGAGUUACAAAGGACGACAUUAGACGAAUCAUCUGGAAAGAUGAAUCAAAGAAGGUAAUAAUCCUGUAGUCGAAAAUGUUGUCUCUCUUGAGUGGAUCCUGAGUACGACGGAGCACGUGAAAUUCCGUCGGAAUCUGGGAGGACCAUCUCCUAAGGCUAAAUACUCUCUAGUGACCGAUAGUGAACCAGUACCGUGAGGGAAAGGUGAAAAGCACCCGGAAGGGGAGUGAAAUAGAACCUGAAACCGUGUGCUUACAAGUAGUCAGAGCCCGUUAAUGGGUGAUGGCGUGCCUUUUGUAGAAUGAACCGGCGAGUUACGAUUUGAUGCAAGGUUAAGCAGUAAAUGUGGAGCCGUAGCGAAAGCGAGUCUGAAUAGGGCGUUUAGUAUUUGGUCGUAGACCCGAAACCAGGUGAUCUACCCUUGGUCAGGUUGAAGUUCAGGUAACACUGAAUGGAGGACCGAACCGACUUACGUUGAAAAGUGAGCGGAUGAACUGAGGGUAGCGGAGAAAUUCCAAUCGAACCUGGAGAUAGCUGGUUCUCUCCGAAAUAGCUUUAGGGCUAGCCUCAAGUGAUGAUUAUUGGAGGUAGAGCACUGUUUGGACGAGGGGCCCCUCUCGGGUUACCGAAUUCAGACAAACUCCGAAUGCCAAUUAAUUUAACUUGGGAGUCAGAACAUGGGUGAUAAGGUCCGUGUUCGAAAGGGAAACAGCCCAGACCACCAGCUAAGGUCCCAAAAUAUAUGUUAAGUGGAAAAGGAUGUGGCGUUGCCCAGACAACUAGGAUGUUGGCUUAGAAGCAGCCAUCAUUUAAAGAGUGCGUAAUAGCUCACUAGUCGAGUGACACUGCGCCGAAAAUGUACCGGGGCUAAACAUAUUACCGAAGCUGUGGAUUGUCCUUUGGACAAUGGUAGGAGAGCGUUCUAAGGGCGUUGAAGCAUGAUCGUAAGGACAUGUGGAGCGCUUAGAAGUGAGAAUGCCGGUGUGAGUAGCGAAAGACGGGUGAGAAUCCCGUCCACCGAUUGACUAAGGUUUCCAGAGGAAGGCUCGUCCGCUCUGGGUUAGUCGGGUCCUAAGCUGAGGCCGACAGGCGUAGGCGAUGGAUAACAGGUUGAUAUUCCUGUACCACCUAUAAUCGUUUUAAUCGAUGGGGGGGGACGCAGCAGGAUAGGCGAAGCGUGCGAUUGGAUUGCACGUCUAAGCAGUAAGGCUGAGUAUUAGGCAAAUCCGGUACUCGUUAAGGCUGAGCUGUGAUGGGGAGAAGACAUUGUGUCUUCGAGUCGUUGAUUUCACACUGCCGAGAAAAGCCUCUAGAUAGAAAAUAGGUGCCCGUACCGCAAACCGACACAGGUAGUCAAGAUGAGAAUUCUAAGGUGAGCGAGCGAACUCUCGUUAAGGAACUCGGCAAAAUGACCCCGUAACUUCGGGAGAAGGGGUGCUCUUUAGGGUUAACGCCCAGAAGAGCCGCAGUGAAUAGGCCCAAGCGACUGUUUAUCAAAAACACAGGUCUCUGCUAAACCGUAAGGUGAUGUAUAGGGGCUGACGCCUGCCCGGUGCUGGAAGGUUAAGAGGAGUGGUUAGCUUCUGCGAAGCUACGAAUCGAAGCCCCAGUAAACGGCGGCCGUAACUAUAACGGUCCUAAGGUAGCGAAAUUCCUUGUCGGGUAAGUUCCGACCCGCACGAAAGGCGUAACGAUUUGGGCACUGUCUCAACGAGAGACUCGGUGAAAUCAUAGUACCUGUGAAGAUGCAGGUUACCCGCGACAGGACGGAAAGACCCCGUGGAGCUUUACUGUAGCCUGAUAUUGAAAUUCGGCACAGCUUGUACAGGAUAGGUAGGAGCCUUUGAAACGUGAGCGCUAGCUUACGUGGAGGCGCUGGUGGGAUACUACCCUAGCUGUGUUGGCUUUCUAACCCGCACCACUUAUCGUGGUGGGAGACAGUGUCAGGCGGGCAGUUUGACUGGGGCGGUCGCCUCCUAAAAGGUAACGGAGGCGCUCAAAGGUUCCCUCAGAAUGGUUGGAAAUCAUUCAUAGAGUGUAAAGGCAUAAGGGAGCUUGACUGCGAGACCUACAAGUCGAGCAGGGUCGAAAGACGGACUUAGUGAUCCGGUGGUUCCGCAUGGAAGGGCCAUCGCUCAACGGAUAAAAGCUACCCCGGGGAUAACAGGCUUAUCUCCCCCAAGAGUUCACAUCGACGGGGAGGUUUGGCACCUCGAUGUCGGCUCAUCGCAUCCUGGGGCUGUAGUCGGUCCCAAGGGUUGGGCUGUUCGCCCAUUAAAGCGGUACGCGAGCUGGGUUCAGAACGUCGUGAGACAGUUCGGUCCCUAUCCGUCGUGGGCGUAGGAAAUUUGAGAGGAGCUGUCCUUAGUACGAGAGGACCGGGAUGGACAUACCUCUGGUGUACCAGUUGUCGUGCCAACGGCAUAGCUGGGUAGCUAUGUGUGGACGGGAUAAGUGCUGAAAGCAUCUAAGCAUGAAGCCCCCCUCAAGAUGAGAUUUCCCAACUUCGGUUAUAAGAUCCCUCAAAGAUGAUGAGGUUAAUAGGUUCGAGGUGGAAGCAUGGUGACAUGUGGAGCUGACGAAUACUAAUCGAUCGAAGACUUAAUCAA